rnacentral:rRNA from 1 species
AGUGAACGCUGGCGGUAGGCCUAACACAUGCAAGUCGAACGGCAGCACAGUAAGAGCUUGCUCUUACGGGUGGCGAGUGGCGGACGGGUGAGGAAUACAUCGGAAUCUACUUUUUCGUGGGGGAUAACGUAGGGAAACUUACGCUAAUACCGCAUACGACCUACGGGUGAAAGCAGGGGAUCUUCGGACCUUGCGCGAUUGAAUGAGCCGAUGUCGGAUUAGCUAGUUGGCGGGGUAAAGGCCCACCAAGGCGACGAUCCGUAGCUGGUCUGAGAGGAUGAUCAGCAACAAUUGAACUGAAACACAGUACAGACUCCUACGGGAGGCAGCAGUGGGGAAUAUUGGAAAAGGGGCGCAAGCCUGAUCAAGCCAUACCGCGUGGGUGAAGAAGGCCUUCGGGUUGUAAAGCCCUUUUGUAGGGAAAGAAAAAAAGCAGGUUAAUACCCCGCUGUUCUGACGGUACCAAAAGAAUAAGCACCGGCUAACUUCGUG